rnacentral:rRNA from 1 species
GUGAACGCUGGCGGUAGGCCUAACACCUGCCAGUCGAACGGCAGCACAGUAAGAGCUUGCUCUUACGGGUGGCGAGUGGCGGACGGGUGAGGAAUACAUCGGAAUCUACUUUUUCGUGGGGGAUAACGUAGGGAAACUUACGCUAAUACCGCAUACGACCUACGGGUGAAAGCAGGGGAUCUUCGGACCUUGCGCGAUUGAAUGAGCCGAUGUCGGAUUAGCUAGUUGGCGGGGUAAAGGCCCACCAAGGCGACGAUCCGUAGCUGGUCUGAGAGGAUGAUCAGCCACACUGGAACUGAGACACGGUCCAGACUCCUACGGGAGGCAGCAGUGGGGAAUAUUGGACAAUGGGCGCAAGCCUGAUCCAGCCAUACCGCGUGGGUGAAGAAGGCCUUCGGGUUGUAAAGCACUUUUGUUGGGAAAGAAAAGCAGCAGGUUAAUACCCCGCUGUUCUGACGGUACCCAAAGAAUAAGCACCGGCUAACUUCG